AUGCAGGUUAUCUCCUACAACCGUUGUGGUCUGCAUGUUGGAAAUACGGCUGCAGACAGAGCUCGGCGUCUGGUUGUGGAUAGCUUGCUGGAGAAUUGUGAUAUCCUUUGCCUUCAGGAAACAUUGUUGUCUAGACAGGACCUGGGACAGCUGAAUUCUGUUAAUGACCAUUUCCAUGGAGCUGGAGAGUCUACCGUGGAUCUGACUUCUGGGAUUGUGAAAGGACGGAUAGCUGGGGGUGUGGCGAUCCUAUGGCAUAAAAGGCUAGAUUCAGUAUUAAAUGUUGUCAGGACUGGAGCUGAUUGGUGUAUAGCUGUUCAUUUAAAAGUAGGAAAUAAGGAGGUUGUCAUCUUGAAUGUCUAUAUACCAUAUGAGUCUCUGCAGAGCAAAGACUUAUACUUGAAUAAACUUGCCUUUAUUAACUCUUUCAUCCAGGAGCAUCAUUCCGCAGCUAUUUGUGCAGUAGGUGACUUGAAUGCUGACAUCACAGACAGUCGGUCUGUGUUUGCUAAGCAUAUGUUGCAGUUCUGUGAGAAUAACGAUCUUAUUUUGUCUAGCCAGCUAUUGUUACUACCUGACAGCUUUACUUCUAUAAGUGAAGCAUGGAACACUCCGUCAUGGCUGGAUCAUUGCAUCAGUACUGCUAAUGCCCAUGCUGGAUUGAAAUCUAUGCAGAUCAUGUACAACUACUCUGUGUCUGAUCAUGUGCCGCUUGUUGUGCAGCUGGAAGUCGGAGGUCUUCCAGAGGUUAUUACAAAAGUAAACAAGGGCUACAAAGUUAUGAUGGAAUGGUCCAAACUCUCCCAAGAGAAUUUUGAGGCAUAUUGCUUGAAAUCUGAUGCUGCUUUGAGUAAUGCACAUGUACCCAGACAUGUAGUUAUGUGUACAGAUCUCAACUGUAAUGAUAUAGUUCACUAUAAGGACCUCUGUACAAUGUAUGAAGGUAUUAUUGAUGCUAUUUAUGAUUGCAGUAGCCCAUACUUUGCAUGUGUGAAGACUAAAAACAUCAAGCCAGGACGGAACAAGUAUGUGGCGACACAACAAGCAGAAGCUAAGCUAGCACAUCAGGCAUGGAUCCAAGCAGGAAGACCCAGAGCAGGGCCGGUCCUGGAAUAUAAAAAGCUUACCAGAGCGAGGUAUAAAUAUGCCAUUCGCUACACUGUAAAACAUGAACAGAACUUGAGAGUGGACUCUAUGGCUGAAAAGCUUUUAUCUAAUAAUGUGAGGGGCUUCUGGAAUGAUGUGAGGACUCUGAACAGGACUAAUACUGCACUGCCCAGUGCCAUAGAGGGAGUCUCUGGGGCUGAUAAUGUAGCAGAGUUAUGGAGACAACACUACUUUGACUUGUAUAACUGUGUCAAAGGUGAGCCAUACAAGGUAGGAAAUGUUACUAGCAGGGAAGCAGUGAUAAUCACUCCUUGUGAGGUGUGA
rnacentral:lncRNA from 1 species